UCCUACGGGAGGCAGCAGUCGAGAAUUUUUCUCAAUGGGCGAAAGCCUGAAGGAGCGACGCCGCGUGGGGGAUGAAGGGCUUCGGUCCGUAAACCCCUGUCAUUUGCGAACAAAUCUUACGGCAUAAUACGCCGUGAGUUGAUAGUAGCGAAAGAGGAAGGGACGGCUAACUCUGUGCCAGCAGCCGCGGUAAUA
rnacentral:rRNA from 1 species